UAUUCCAGUCACCAUUGGGGCCAAGUAGGAAUUUUGGGGGAAUUUGACUGGCUAAUGUUGGGGCUUUUUUUUGGCCUACUCCUCACUGAUUUCAUUAAGGCAGUCCCUGGAGUUAAUUGUAGGUCAGGGUAAGAUGAUGUAGGUCAGGGUAGGUUAAUUUACAUUGGUGUCGGGUUGGAGGGCCAUUAUGGUGAGUGGGAAAAUGGAGGAAGGCUUGGUGAUCUCACAACUCUCAGGCUGGAUCUGUUCCCACUCGGAUGCAUGCCAGCGAACACAGCACAGUGCCUUGCAACCUGGGUUGAGGUGGGCUGGCAUGCAUCUCCUCCACGUGGUAGAGAAGAGGUUUGGACUGGGUACCGAGCCAAAUCAAAGCCCAGUCCUUCACCCUCCUGUGGGAAUACCUUCUUUGAGAUUGACCCACAUAGGGGAUACCCACACUUUAGUUAAGAUUCCUCAUUGCAGGUUUUGUAAAUAUUCAAUGAAGUGGCCCUAGUUUUUUCCACCUACGCAUGUCCUGUCAUUAUUUGUCCUGGGUUUGCAAAGACAAAUCCCCCUCGUAUUAACUGUGACAGGAGACUGGCAUUCUAUAUGGACCUGUGGUCCUUUUAGAGCACACCUACCAGCAGGGGUGGUUCUUCCACGAGGCAAGAUUGAACAACAGAUAUUUGGGGUACCAGCAGGUGGCAAGAAACCCCCCAGAGCCUCAUCUGUCUCCCUCUGCCUACUACCAUCAGAGCAGCUCUUCCCUGAGUGGAGGUACAGCCAACUGUCCAGCAAAGAACAGCUCUGAUAGUCCUCCAUUGUGACUCCAACUAAUCCUCAUAGUGUGGCACACACCUUAUCUCCCUUCUGUGAUGCUGCCAGGCUAGUAAUGAAAAGGGGUGUCAAGCAGAAGAGGAAGUAAUUUUCCUGAUUUACACACCUGAAGUACCCCCAGUGGUCAGUAACUGCCUGCAUCACUCUGCAUAGAAUAUCAGCCACUGUUUACUAAAUAUCUUACUAUGAAAAGGAGAGGGGAGCCAAAGAGGAAAGGAUGAAAGAACUGUAGAGUACAGGAGACACUCUACAGAAUGUUUAGACACUCUAUAACAGUUUAUUCUACUGCUCUCAGUAUAUGCUCUGUACCGCACCUCCUCUACACUACUGCCCUUUCAUCACUUCCUCUUCCUUCGCUUUGUUGUUUCCUUUGGUAAAAGAGGAGGAUGAGGAUGUAAGUGUUAGAACAUAAGAAUAGUCCUGCUGGAUCAGGCUCAAGGCCCAUCUAGUCCAGCAUCCUGUUUCACACUGCCCACCAGAUUCCUCUGAGAAGCCCAAAGGCAGGAGCUGAGAGCAUGCCCUAUCUCCUGCUGUUGCUCUCCUGCAACUGAUAUUUAGAGGCAACUUACUUCUUAGGCUGGAGCUGACUUAUAGCCCUCAGACUAGUAGCCAUUGAUAGACUUGUCAUCCAUGAAUUUAUAAGAACGUAAGAACAGCCCUGCUGGAUCUGGCCCUAUCUAAUCCAGCAUCCUGUGGCUCACCAGAUGCCUCCAAGAAGCUCACAGGGUGAUUCAGUUGAUACAGUCUACCUGGACUUCCAAAAAGCUUUCGACAAAGUUCCUCAUCAAAGACUCCGGAGAAAAUUUAACAGUCAUGGGAUAAGGGGACAAGGACAAGUGGAUUUCUAACUGGUUGAAGGACAGGAAACAGAGGUGUCACCGCAGAGUCAUCCUCACCUACAGUGGUUCCUCCAGAUGGGACUAUCUACCCUUACAGGAGCGCUUGACGUUUCCCAGGUGUCAGCUUGCCAUGGAACCUGGAAAUUUAAGAAUGGCCACUAAGUGAGGCAAUGGACAGACAAGGCCAGGGAGAGGAGCGAGCGAGGUGGAAGUAAACAAGAAGAAAACAUACAAAACAACAAUACUCGGCACUGUACAAGAAGCUAACUAGACAACGCCCACCUUCAAUCACUUGCAGAGAAGGAAAAAAGGCAACUAGGAACGUUAUUUCACUGUUACAGAUAUACUGGAUUAACUGACAGAGGACGUCUAUCAAUAUCAGAGGAAGCCUAUCAAUAUCUAUCAAGCUGAGAUUUCUAAGAGUUUCUCUGUUCAAGGUUAAGAGAAAGAACUGCCAACAGGGUUAAAUGCAUCAGAAUGCACAACAUUAGACAAAUACACAGGACCAAGUUUAACUAAAUGCCCUUGUACAUACAGGAUCAUACAGAGUGAAGCUCUGAGUAUUAGAAAAUGAAGUAAUACAAUUACAGCCAAUUUACCUCUACAGUAUAUUUGACCUAUUUUAAGCCCUGGGCCAGCAACUACACAACACACACACAAUUAUGCACCUGCUUUUUCUCUUGGAACCAUACAUAGGAAUUACCAGUAAAACACAAGAUACUGCAUUGCAAUUACAGCAAAAGAACAAUGCAUAUCCUUCAGAUUCUCUCUCCCGAAAAAUAGGGUUUAUCAUAUAUACGAGGCUUACAUUAUUUUGCUGGGCUUCCACAAAAAUGCUUAGUGUUUGACGGAUUCUGCUACACACUAUGUAUGCAUACAUUUAGUCUCCAAUACAACUGUUACAAGGCAGCUGCAAGGUUAUCAGCAGUCACUUUCAAAAGAGAAACGGAAUAACUGAUGAAUACGCUUAGAAACCCUUUCUCCAUUUGCUAAGGAAUGCCAUUGCUCAAUUGUCAUGCUCUGCAUCUUUCAUAUUACACAGAAAACAUGAACGUACCAAAUAUGAAGUCAUAGCACUUCUGAAACACACCUCGUAAUCUUCCACAGAUUCUGCAGUUCAAUAUAAAAAUCUCAGUAGUUUCCCCCCCGCUUUAUCUCCAGUCUGUAAUGUAAAUAAAAUCCACAUCCAGCAUACUGACUCUUUCAUUAAAAGCAAGCAAAGAUGAGUAGAAAAAUGAAUGUGAAUAUCUGCCCUGCGUUAACUUAAACCAACAUUGUCUUGAUGUAAACCAAAACACAUGCUGAGUGAGGAUGUGCGCACAUAGCAGCUUAUCUCCUCUCUCAUCUGCUUCUAAUGACAGCUGAUAAACUAGCCACAACUAAUCCUUUUCUAGCUGCUGAUCAAAUAGACAAUCCAGCAUGGUGGAACACUCGAAAAUUCCUCCUGCUUCUGUUCUACUGCUGCUCUAAAAAGCAGUUUCCUUUUCAUUGAGAUAAUAGCCUUUUCUGCAGUCACAUGACUCAGAACCUACAUUAGCACAGCGUUAUGAUAAUAGACCUCUCUCCUCCCCCAUUCUGCUGCUAUUAAGGAGGGCAUCUCUCCUAAAAACCCACUUAAACAUGUUGUAAAGUGCCAACGCAUUCUGAAACUAUGCCUGCUCAAUAAUAUAGAUACAGCUUAGCUAGGAACAAUUAAUACAGAAUGAAAUCAAGUAUUAUGCAUGAUAUUUAGCAGGCAUAAGUAAUGCUGUUAGGUGUAACUGCAUUCAUUUGUUCUCUGUAACAUCUUAUGAAUAAACCCUUUGUAAAUAUGCUCCUAUCCACACAAGCUAAAAGCAAUAAAUAUUUUUGAGAUUCAUCUCUAACCCUUU